AUUGAACGCUGGCGGCAGGCCUAACACAUGCAAGUCGAGCGGAGCGGCGGACGGGUGAGUAAUGCCUAGGAAUCUGCCUGGUCGUGGGGGAUAACGUCCGGAACCGGGCGCUAAUACCGCAUCCUCUCAGAUUAGCCUAGGUCGGAUUAGCUAUUAGGUUGGGUAAAGGCUCACCUAGGCGACGAUCCCUAGCUGGUCUGGGAGGAUGACCAGCCACGAUGGAACUGAGACACCGGCCAGACUCCGACGGGAGGCGGGAGUGGGGAAUAUUGCUCAAUGGGAGCAAGCCUGAUGCAGGCAUGCCGCGUGUAUGAAGAAGGCCGUCGGGUUGUAAAGUACUUUCAGCGGGGAGGCGUUACACGAAGAAGAAGCACCGGCUAACUCCGUGCAGCCGCGGUAAUAC
rnacentral:rRNA from 1 species